rnacentral:lncRNA from 1 species
UUAUGAGGCCUUUCUUCAUCUCUCAGCAGAAAUGUGAGUUCUCCAGGCAGCCAGUCCACAGAGGCAUAAAUAUUAAACAGCAACAGUACCAUCUAGUGACUCUGACUUAUGGAGCAUCUUCUAAGAAGGGGAUGAGGAGAUAUGUGGGCUGGGGAGCCCAGGAGUGGUCCUAGCCUUGCACGUGUCAUAUCUCUGGGUUCAUUUGGGUUUAGGAAACCAUCUGGGCAGCAAAGCAACAAUUCCUUGGGAGACGAUCUCCGCUUUGGCCUCUUGACUCCCCGCUGAACCCAGCCUGACCCACGCUCCCUCUGCUGGUGAUUCUGUGAUUCUACCUGGUGCUGAAAGCUGACGUGACAGCAGGAGAAGGAUUCAUAUUGCAUCUAUUAUCUAUUAUCAA